AACGAACGCUGGCGGCAUGCCUAACACAUGCAAGUCGAACGAGACCUUCGGGUCUAGUGGCGCACGGGUGCGUAACGCGUGGGAACCUGCCUUUAGGUUCGGAAUAACUCAGAGAAAUUUGAGCUAAUACCGGAUGAUGUCUUCGGACCAAAGAUUUAUCGCCUUUAGAUGGGCCCGCGUUGGAUUAGCUAGUUGGUGGGGUAAAGGCCUACCAAGGCGACGAUCCAUAGCUGGUCUGAGAGGAUGAUCAGCCACACUGGGACUGAGACACGGCCCAGACUCCUACGGGAGGCAGCAGUGGGAAUAUUGGACAAUGGGCGAAAGCCUGAUCCAGCAAUGCCGCGUGAGUGAUGAAGGCCUUAGGGUUGUAAAGCUCCUUUACCCGAGAUGAUAAUGACAGUAUCGGGAGAAUAAGCUCCGGCUAACUCCGUG
rnacentral:rRNA from 1 species